rnacentral:sRNA from 1 species
AGAAUGGCAUACCUAUCCAAAAGAGAUAUGAGUGCUGACUUGGGGCUUAUCAAUAAUUGACCAGAUCAAAGCUUCGGUGCUUGAAAUCAGCAAAUUCUGGGGACACUUCAGUCGGAAUCCUUACAAAUGAGGACUAAAAUUGGAAUCAUAAAAGAGUUCAUCAUGAAAGAGAAAGCUAUUUUUGGAAUGCCAUCAUUCACACUUUUGUAUCUGUUCAAAAAAGUACAAAAAUACAUUGUAAUCUAUUGCAUGAAAACCUG